UUCUUAAAGCCCUCAUUUUAAGUAGCGCCUGCUCAAUGCAAAUGUAAAUUGCCGCAGAAUUUUUAUACUGUGCUAAGGUAGCAUAAUCAUUAGCCUCUUAAUUAGAGACUAGAAUGAAUGGUAGCCCCCCUAAAUACUUUCUUUCAUUAUUCAUUAAAACUUCAAUUAAAUAUAAAAAUAUAUUUAUAAAUAAAAAAGACGAUAAGACCCUAUCGAACUUUACUAAAGUUUAGCUGGGGAAGCUAAUUAAACAUAAUUUUAAUAAUUAUAUUUACAAAUGAUCCAAUUAUAUUGAUUAAUUGAUCAAGUUACCGUAGGGAUAACAGCAUAAUACUAUUUUAAAGUCUUAUUAAAAAUAGAGUUUAUGACCUCGAUGUUGAAUUAUUUAUCUAUAAGGCGCAAUAGCCUUAAAAGAAAGUCUGUUCGACCUUUAAACUUUUACA
rnacentral:rRNA from 1 species